GAUGAACGCUGGCGGCGUGCUUAACACAUGCAAGUCGAACGGAAAGGCUCCUGCUUGCAGGGGUACUCGAGUGGCGAACGGGUGAGUAACACGUGGGUGAUCUGCCCUGCACUUCGGGAUAAGCCUGGGAAACUGGGUCUAAUACCGGAUAGGACGAUGGUUUGGAUGCCAUUGUGGAAAGUUUUUUCGGUGUGGGAUGAGCUCGCGGCCUAUCAGCUUGUUGGUGGGGUAAUGGCCUACCAAGGCGUCGACGGGUAGCCGGCCUGAGAGGGUGUACGGCCACAUUGGGACUGAGAUACGGCCCAGACUCCUACGGGAGGAGCAGUGGGGAAUAUUGCACAAUGGGCGCAAGCCUGAUGCAGCGACGCCGCGUGGGGGAUGACGGCCUUCGGGUUGUAAACUCCUUUCGCUAGGGACGAAGCGCAAGUGACGGUACCUGGAGAAGAAGCACCGGCUAACUACGUG
rnacentral:rRNA from 1 species